rnacentral:rRNA from 1 species
AUGGUGUUCUACACAUUGGUCAAAACGACUCAGCAGGCUCAGCAUUCAGAUCAACCUGCUAGCUCUAUAGGAGUGCCCAAAUCUCCUACACUGAACCAGGAGCACACACAGGAACAAGAGACUCGAUUGGAACAGCUCAGACAGCAACUGGCAGCAGAGAAGGAGAAAUCCAGGCAGAUGGAAGACAGUCAACUUCAGAAUCUCCCUCCUAUCCGCACAAAUCAAACAAAUGGACCACCUGGUUUUGUCCAACAGAACAGACAGGAGGCAAACAAUUCUGGAGGUACUCCACUAACAGCAAGACACAAUGCCCAGACACCUGCAUUCAACCAUUUCUAUCAGAACAACAGAGAUAGACAGAUGUGGAAGGGAUAUCACAGAACAUAUGAACUGGAUAUGCAAGCCCAAUUCAUGAGAUCUCUGACUAAAUGGCCUAAACUAGAAUUUUCUAGAUUCUCUGGUGAAGAUCCAGUGGGUUGGAUUAGACAGUGCAACAAGUAUUUCCAAAUGUCAGCUGCACCUGAGGAAUACAAGGUGUCCCUUGCUCAAAUGUACAUCAUUGGAGAAGCUGAUACAUGGCUUAGAAGAUCAGGACUGCUGAAGAAACAACUAUCUUGGACUCAAUUUGGAAAAGAGGUCAUUGAAAGAUUUGCAGAGCAUGGAUCUUAUGAUCUUACAGAGAAAUUCAACUCACUGAAGCAAGGGAAUAAUUCAGUCUCUGAAUAUACAAAUAACUUUGAAGAUCUCAUGGUAGAUGUGCUGGGAGAAACUCCUGAAUUAAGUGAACAGUGGUUUAUAAGAUGCUUUAUCAAUGGUCUAAGAGAAGGAAUUAAAUUCCAAAUCAGACCACUCAGGCCAUAG